rnacentral:tRNA from 1 species
GCGAAGUUGGCAGAAUUUAUGUGCCUUGCUUAGGACUGGGUUAUGCGGGUUGGACCCGCACUUUGCU